rnacentral:other from 1 species
UACAGUCUGAAAACGACUGGCCGGGUACUGAUGAAGUACUAUCACUUGUUAAAGGGUUUUUUUGAAUGUCAAAGCGCAAAGGUAACGUGAAGUGGUUUAACGAAGCAAAAGGUUUCGGUUUUAUCACUCCGGAAGACGGCAGCAAAGAUGUGUUUGUUCACUUCUCUGCAAUUCUGAACGACGGUUUCAAAACACUGGCAGAAGGCCAGAAAGUGGAAUUUGAAAUCGUUGAUGGCGCUAAAGGCCCGUCUGCUGCAAACGUUGUCUCGAUUUAAGUUGUAACACGCUAUACCGUAGCUGUUAUUUUAAUUCGACAUUAUCGUGACGAAAACCCGUUACUCACCAUAGUAACGGGUUUUUUU